rnacentral:rRNA from 1 species
UACGUAGGUGGCAAGCGUUGUCCGGAUUUACUGGGCGUAAAGAGCGCGCAGGCGGUCGUUCAAGUCGCGUGUGAAAGCCCCCGGCUCAACUGGGGAGGGUCACGCGAUACUGAUCGACUGGAAGGCAGGAGAGGGUAGUGGAAUUCCCGGUGUAGUGGUGAAAUGCGUAGAUAUCGGGAGGAACACCAGUGGCGAAGGCGGGAUCCUGGGCCAGUACUGACGCUGAGGAGCGAAAGCGUGGGUAGCAACAGG